UACGGAGGGUGCAAACGUUGCUCGGAAUCAUUGGGCGUAAAGCGCACGUAGGCGGCCUGUUAAGUCGGGUGUGAAAGCCCUGGGCUCAACCCAGGAAGUGCACUCGAAACUGGCGGGCUUGAAUAUGGAAGAGGGUCGCGGAAUUCCCGGUGUAGAGGUGAAAUUCGUAGAUAUCGGGAGGAACACCAGUGGCGAAAGCGGCGCACUGGACCACAACUGACGCUGAGGCGCGAAAGCUAGGGGAGCAAACAGG
rnacentral:rRNA from 1 species